rnacentral:misc_RNA from 1 species
GCAAACUUGGUCAUUUAGAGGAAGUAAAAGUCGUAACAAGGUUUCCGUAGGUAUCGGUUUGCCUACAGCUAACCAGCCCACGACUAUAAUCCAGGGCUUUUCAGUCGUUUACCGGCGACGUGCUCAAUCUGAACUGGGGCAACCAGCAGCCUUUAAUUGGGCUCACAGAUCAGACGAGUGCGGCCAUAUUUAAGUGGUCUUGAUGUGAUCGGCCUUGAACUUGUCCAAAGUUCAAGACCAAGUGGAACCUGCGGAAGGAUCAUUACCGAGAGGAGCAUUCGUGCUCCGGGAGCUUCGGCUCCCUUCUUAACCCUGUGAUUACUAUUCCUUUUGUUGCUUUGGCGGGGGCUUUGCUCUCAUGCUCAGCCCUCGCCAAUAGCCCAUUUUUUCAAUCUUUUUACAGUGGCACUCAAGUUAAAAUAUCUAAUUGAUAAAACUUUCAACAACGGAUCUCUUGGUUCUGGCAUCGAUGAAGAACGCAGC